GCUUGCUUCGGCAACACAUAUACUAAAAUUGGAAUGAUAGAGAGUAGAUUAGCAUGGCCCCUGUGCAAGGAUGACAUGCAAAUUCAGGAAGCGUUCCAUAUUUUU
ensembl:snRNA U6 U6 spliceosomal RNA